UGGAGAGUUUGAUCCUGGCUCAGGACGAACGCUGGCGGCGUGCCUAAUACAUGAAGUCGAGCGGACAGAUGGGAGCUUGCUCCCUGAUGUUAGCGGCGGACGGGUGAUAACACGUGGGUAACCUGCCUGUAAGACUGGGAUAACUCCGGGAAACCGGGGCUUACCGGAUGCUUGAUUGAACCGCAUGGUUCAAUUAUAAAAGGUGGCUUUUAGCUCCUUACAGAUGGACCCGCGGCGCAUUAGCUAGUUGGUGAGGUAACGGCUCACAAGCACGAUGCGUAGCCGACCUGAGAGGGUGAUCGGCCACACUGGGACUGAGCACGCCAGACUCCUACGGGAGGCAGCAGUAGGGAAUCUUCCGCAAUGGACGAAGUCUGACGGAGCAACGCCGCGUGAGUGAUGAAGGUUUUCGGAUCGUAAAACUCGUUGUUAGGGAAGAACAAGUACCGUUCGAAUAGGGCGGUACCUUGACGGUACCUACCAGAAAGCCACGGCUAACUACGUGCCAGCAGCCGCGGUA
rnacentral:rRNA from 1 species